GAUGAGGAGAUGAGAGCCAAUUGUUCCAGCAGCUCAGCCUGCCCUGCCAACAGUUCAGAGGAGGAGCUGCCAGUGAGACUGGAGGUACAUGGAAACCUGGAGCUCAUUUUCACAGUGGUGUCCACUGUGAUGAUGGGGCUGCUCAUGUUCUCUUUGGGAUGCUCUGUGGAGAUCCAGAAGCUGUGGUCGCACAUCAGGAGACCCUGGGGCAUUGCUGUGGGACUGCUCUGCCAGUUUGGGCUCAUGCCUUUUACAGCUUAUCUCCUGGCCAUCAGCUUUUCUCUGAAGCCAGUCCAAGCUAUUGCUGUUCUCAUCAUGGGCUGCUGCCCGGGGGGCACCAUCUCUAACAUUUUCACCUUCUGGGUUGAUGGAGAUAUGGAUCUCAGCAUCAGUAUGACAACCUGUUCCACCGUGGCGGCCCUGGGAAUGAUGCCACUCUGCAUUUAUCUCUACACCUCGUCCUGGAGUCUUCAGCAGAAUCUCACCAUUCCUUAUCAGAACAUAGGAAUUACCCUUGUGUGCCUGACCAUUCCUGUGGCCUUUGGUGUCUAUGUGAAUUACAGAUGGCCAAAACAAUCCAAAAUCAUUCUCAAGGUGCAGGACAAUUUCCUUAGAAACUGGAGCUCAGAAUAUUCAGAUGUGCAUCACCAUGCUCCAGUUAUCUUUCACUGCUGAGCACUUGGCCCAGAUGUUGAGUUUCCCACUGGCCUAUGGACUCUUCCAG
rnacentral:sRNA from 1 species